rnacentral:piRNA from 1 species
UAGCAGUCACAUCACAAAGUUCUGUU